rnacentral:lncRNA from 10 species
GUGUCGGCUGUGGGUACUGGACCUAGCUGCUAGCUUGCUACAUCUAAGGUCGACCAGACGGUUCUCACCACCGGCAGUACUGCUCAGGGAAUAAGGUGAAGGUGGACUCUUCUUGUUCAGUGGAGCACAUGUGGUCCUGGAGAAAGCUGUCACACAGUGGACUCAGAGAUGUGGUCCACGGGCACUAAUUUCCUCUCAGUCCCUGCCUAAGCAAGAUUCAUCUUCCUCUGCCUGCUGUUUCAUUUUUUUCUUCUAUUGUCUGGUAUAUCUUAAGAUAAAAACUUGUUUCCAAAGGGAAAGUUUCAGAAAUGUUUCUAAGAAUAAUAAUUCAAGUUGGAUUUCCAAGUAGUAUUCCUGGGCAACUGAUUAAAUUCUUUUGUCAAUAAUCAAAAUCUGGAAUGUCCUGGAUUAGUUCCACCAUUUCAUCAUGAUAACUCCCUCUUCUAUAAUCCCUACCAGAAAUGAUUGCUUUGCUUAAAAGCUUUUCCCUGAGAAGACACUGGUGUGUUAUUUCUUUAUCAGCUUAUGAAAAUUAAUUCUGGUUGGGUACAGUGGCUCAUGCCUGUAAUCCCAGCACUUUGGGAGGCUGAGGUGGGCGGAUCAUGAGGUCAAAAUUGAGACCUUCCUAGCCAACAUGGUGAAACCCUGUCUCUACUAAAAAUACAAAAUUAGCUGGGUGUGGUGGCAUGCGCCUGUAGUCCCAGCUACUUGGGAGGCUGAGGCAGGAGAAUCACUUGAUCCUGGGAGGCAGAGGGUGCAGUGAGCCGAGAGAGCGCCACUGCAUUGCAGCCUGGCGACAGAGCGAGACUCCAUCUAAAAAUAUAUGUAUAUUAAUUCUACAUAUCUAGGAUUUUUACUGUGCCUUUGUGUUUUUUUAAGCUACUGGUUUUCUCAAGUUAAACAUUAAAAGUAUUAUGGAAGUACUGAUGAUGUACUCAGAGGAAAACAAUAGAGCAUAUAAUUUAUUUGUUAUAAAAUGUAAAAGUUCUGCAAGAUUUUCCUCUGAUUUGUAAAAUGUUCUCUCUCAAGAAAGUUUUUCUUUACGUCUUACAUUUUUUUUUAUUUUAAAGACCCACAGGGUUGCUUAAAGUGUGAUAGUCCUGUUGUUGUAGCGAAGAUAAUUACACAUACAACCUGGCUUUUGUGGCAUCUUGCUUACCCUAUUUUGCAGAACACAGAUACCAAAGGUUGGCCUUAUGAAGCUGGAGCUAUUUUUGCACUGUUAUUUCAGAAAUGCUGAAAGAACAUCCUACUGAUUUUCUAAUACUCAAAAUUAUACAAUAAUAUACUUGGACGUUUAGGUCUUAAAGACUUUUCAUCAUGAGUUUCUGUUAAAAUCUAAUAUGAAAUGCAGCUGCCAUCCAGAAUCUUAACAGUGUUUGCUGCCAGCCAACUGAAUGACUUAUUGGAGGAACGAUUCAUGACUUCUGGGCCUGAGGGACUGGCUGUCAGGGGGCUGGUUUGAGCAAAGCUCUUCCAUAGGUGACUCCAUAUUUGCACUGACAGAAGCUCCUAUUGCACAGAAUUGUACAAUUAUUCAGAAAGAGUAGAAAUCAUGAAUCUACAUUUUACCUGAUUUCAAACUGGUUGACAAUUUACUUCUGCAGAUUAUUUUUCUCUUCUCCACUUAAUUUAUAAUUUAUUCCAUCUAUUUUUUUCCUUUUCUGCCAACUAUUGUAUUUUUCUAGGGAUAGUUGCAGGAACGAAACUGAUUUCUAUCAGAGUGCUUAUUAUAAUUCUAUUCUAUUACUCUGUGAACAAAGAUGCAAAAAUCCUCACCCAAAUAUUAAGAAAUCAAAUCCAAAAAUGUAUAAAAAGAAUUAUACACUACAACCCAGUGAGAUUUAUUACAGGCAUGCAAAUCUGGUUCAACAUUUGAAUAUAAAUUAGGCUGGGUGUGGUGGCUCAUACCGGUAAUCCCAGUGCAGUAGGAGGCCAAGGAAAGAGGAUCACUUAAGGCCAGGAGUUCAAGAUAAGCGCAGACAACAUAGCAAGACUCUGUCUUUUAAAGAAAUUAGUUCAUCAUAUUAAGAGAUAUAAAAAGAUAAUAUGAUCUUAUCAAUAUAAUCAGAAAAAUUAUUUGACAAAAUUCAAAAUCUAUUCAUGAGAAAACCACUCUGCAAACUAAAAAUAGGGAAAAACUUCCUCAAUUUCAAAAGAAUGUUUAUUAAAAAAAACCUACAUCUUACCUCAUACUAAAUGUAGAAACACUAGAUGCCUUCCUGCUAAGAUCAGGAGCAAGGCAAAGAUGUCUCCUCUCACCAUUCCUAUACAACAUUAUACUGUAAGCCCCAGGUAAUACAAUGACAAGAAUAGAAAAGGUACAUAGAUUAGGAAGGAAGAAAUAAAACUGUCUUUUUACACAGAUGAUAUAAUUGCCUAUGGAGAAAUCUGAAAGGAUCACAAAACAAAAUCUUAGAAUAACCAAUUAUAAUGAGCAAUUAUACCAACUUUGCAAAUUAUAAGAAAAUGUAAAUGUCAAUUAUUGUCCUACAUAUUAGCAGUGUAAUUAGAAUCUGAAAUUUAAAACAAUGAUAUUUAUGCUAGUACCAAUAACAAUAAAAUACUUAAGUGCAAAUCUAACAAAAUAAAUAUAAAUAUAGGACUUUAUUCACUUCAAAACUGUGAAUAAAAACAUCAAAGAAGAUCUAAAUAAAUAGAGAGAAAAUUCACAUUCAAGAAACAUUCAACUUUGUUAAAAUGUCAGUACCUCCCAACUUUACAUGUUCAAUGCAGUCCCAAUCAAAAUUCCACAAAGUUAGUUUGUGGAUAUUGACAAACUGACCCUAAAGUUUAUAUGAAAAGGCAAAAGACCCAGAAUAGCCCAGAAAAUAUUCAAAAAGAACAGUUGGAAUGACACUACCCAACUGUAAGAACUACUAUAAAGCUACAGUAAUCAAAAUAACAUGGUACUGUUAAAAAUAAUAGAGAAACAGAUAAACGAUACAAAAGAGAAAGGUCGGAAAUUGACCCACACAAAUAUAGUCAGCUUAUUUUUGAUGAAAUGGCAAAGGCAAUUCAAUUGAGAGAGAAUAAUUUUUCAAAAAACAGUACUGGAAAAACUAGACAUCCACAUGCAAGAGAAAAGAAAAAAAAAAUCCUAAACCCAGACCUAACAACUUUCACAGAAAUUACUCAAAAUGGAUCAUAGCUCAAUAUAAAAGGAAAACCCACAAAACUUUUAGAAAAUAACAAAGAUCAGAAUCUGAAUUACCUCAGGUUUUGCUCCUUUCUACAACACCCAAAAUAUUAUCCAUGAAAGGAAAAUCUGCUAAGUUGAACUAUUUUAAAAAUAACAUUUCUGCACUGCCAAAGAUGCUGUUAAAAGAAUAAAAAUGCAAACCACAGAAUAAAAGAAAAUAUUUGCAAAACACAUAACUGAUAAAAGACUGGUAUCCAGAAUAUGCGACAAGAAAUAAAGAACUCUUAAAACGCAAGAAUAAGAAAUGAACAACCCAAUUAUAAAAUUGCAAAAGAUCCAGAUACCUUACUAAAGAACAUAUAAGCAUGGCAAAUAAGCAUAUGAAAAUAUGCUCAACAUCAUAUGUCAUUAGGAAAUUGAAAAUAACAAUGGCAUACUGCCACACACAUAUUAGAAUGGCUAAAAUCCAAAACAAUGACUACACUAAAUGCUGGUGAGGAUAUAGAGUAACAAGCACUCUCAUUUAUCGCGGGUGAAUAUGCAAAGUGCUAUGACCAGUUUGGAAGACAGUUUGCCGGUUUCUUACAGAGCUACACAUACAUUUAAGUGCAAUCCAGCAAUCACACUCUGUGGCCUUUAUCCAAAAGAGGUGGAAACUUUCAUCUACACAAAACUCUUCACCCUACUAUUAAGAAGAGUUUUAUACAUAAUUGCCAAAACAUGAAACCAACCAAGAUAUUCUUCAAUAGGUAAAUGAAUAAACUAACUGGGGUGCAACUAUACAACGAACAUUAUUCACUGAUAAAAAGAAAUGAGCUGUCAAGCCUUGAAAAGAUAUGAGGAACCUUAAGUGCAUAUGGUUGGGAAAGAAGGAAAUCUGAAAAGGCUACAUGCUAUAUGAUUCCAAGUAUAUGACAUUCUGUAAAAGGCAAAACCAAGGAGACAGUAAGAAGAUCUGUGGUAUCCCCAAGUUUGGGGGGAAGAAGGGAGAGAUGAAUAGGUGGGGUACAGCAUAUAUUUUAAGACAGCAAAACUAUUCUGCAUAAUGCAGUAAUGGUGGAUACAUGUCAUGUCAUUAUGCAUUUGUCAAAAUCCAUAGAUUUUAAAAUAAAAAAAACCAUGAAUUUGAAUGCAAACUUUAGAUUUCAGCUAAUAAUAACUUUUCUAUAUUAGUUCAUUAACAGUAAAAAUAUGCCACACCAAAGUAAGGUGUUAAUAACAGAGGAGAAGCUGGGUGCAGGGAGAGGAUACAUGGAAACUCUGUGCUUUCCACUUAAUAUUUAUGUAAACUUGAUACUUACCAAAAAAAUAAAGUAUAAAAAAUAUCCCAAUGAUUACUAUCAAAAGUAGACUGGAUUUAAAAAUUAUACUAGUUACAAAUAUGUGACUGAAUAUAGUCCUAUGCAGCAAUUAAAAUAAAUAAACUCAGGUGUUAAAUGUCAUCCCCAUGAUCGUAAUCACAAAAAAGCCAUAGAAUAUACACAAAAGAAAAUAAAAAGUGUAAAUGUUUCACCAGAAAAAAUCAACCAAACAAGAAGAAAUAAUGUAGAAAAUACAAAACUAGAAGAUGUAAGAUAUACAGAAAACAAAUAGCAAAAGGACAGAACUCUCUACUUUUAAGUAAUUAUUUUAAAUGUAAAUGUAUUAAACUAUCCAAUUAAAAGGCAGAAAUCAGCAGAACAGACUAUAAAACAUGAUCUAACUAUCUUGUUUUUACAAGAUUCACAUUAGAUUCAAAGAUACAACUAGGCUGAAAGUAAAAGGAAGAAAACAGAUAUUUCGUGCAAACAGUAAGCAAAAUAGAUUUGGGUUGGCUAUAUUAAUAUCAGACAAAAUAGACUUAAAAUCAAAAAUCUUACAUAAAAAUACAAAGACACUGUGUAUUCACAAAAGUCCCUUUAGCAAGAAGAUAUAAAUAUUAUAAGCAUGCAUGUACCUAAUAAUAAACCACUAAAAUAUAUGAAGCACAAAUCGACAGAAUUGAAGAGAGAAGUCGACAGAAUUGGAGAAGUCGACAGUUCUAAAAUAAUAGAGAUGAUAAUACUCCACUCUCUGUAAUGAACAGAAUCACCAGAUAGAAGAUAAGUUAGAAAUAAAUGGCUUAUAUAAUACAACAAACCAACUAAAUUUAACAGAUACAUAUACAGGAUACUCCACCCAACAACAGAAGAAUACACACUAUUCUCAAUGUCCAUGGAUCACACAUGGACAUUCUCCAGGAUGGACUGUAUGUUAUGUCACAAAUCAAGUCAAUAACAGAAGGAAAACUAAAACACUCACAAAGUUGUAAAAUUUAACAUACUCUUAAACAACCAAUAAGUAAAAGAAAAAAACUCAAGGGAAAUUAAAAAAUACAGAGAAUGGAAAAUGAAAAUACAACAUACCAAAAGUUAUGAGAUGCACAAAAGCAGUGUGAAGAUCAGAAAUUUAUAGCUAUAAACACAUUAAAGAAGGGCCUUGGCUGGGCGUGGUGGCUCAUGCCUGUAAUCCCAGCACUUUGGGAGGCCAGGCAGGUGGAUCACCUGAGGUCAGGAGUUUGAAACUAGCCUAGCCAAAAUGGUGAAACCUUGUCUCUACUAAAAAUACAAAAAUUAGCCGGGCAUGGUAGCG